rnacentral:rRNA from 1 species
UACAGAGGGGGCAAGCGUUGUUCGGAAUUACUGGGCGUAAAGGGCGCGUAGGCGGCCCGCUAAGUCGAACGUGAAAUCCCCGGGCUCAACCCGGGAACUGCGUCCGAUACUGGCAGGCUUGAAUCCGGGAGAGGGAUGCGGAAUUCCAGGUGUAGCGGUGAAAUGCGUAGAUAUCUGGAGGAACACCGGUGGCGAAGGCGGCACUCUGGGACGGUACUGACGCUGAGACGCGAAAGCGUGGGGAGCGAACAGG